AGAAGGAAGAUAUGAGUUUGGACUGCUGCCUAUGGUGAAAUCAAUGUCAGCCUUUGUCCAACACCUGGAAGAGAUAGAAAGUCACGUCUUUUUGAGCAUCCUCAUUUCCAGAAAGCAUCUGAGAUAACAUCCCCAGGGGAAGAAAGAUUUGAGUUAGGCCUGAUGCGUAUGGAGCAAGUGUUGUCUUCAUUGGUCCAGCACCUGGAAGAGACAGAAACUCACGUCAUUUGGGACAUCCUCAUUUUCAGAAAGCUUUGGAGUCUCAAAAGGACCAUUGGUAGGGAAGAACUGAGCCCCAGGACAGGAGAAAUUGAAAGGCAGCCAGAUAACAUCCCCAGGGGAAGGACGACCUGAGUUUGAGCUGCUGCCUAUGGAGCAAGCGAUGUCAGACUUGUUCCAGCACCUGGAAGAGACAGAAAGUCACGUCCUUUUGGGCAUCCACAUCUCCAGAGAGCAUCUGAGCCAAAGUCCCCAUGGGAAGGAAGAUCUGAGUUUGGUCCACUGCCCAUGGAGCAAGUGAUGUCAGCCUUUGUCCACCACCUGUAAGAAACAGAAACUCAGUUCCUUUUGGGCAUCCUCAUUUCCAGAAAGCAUGUGAGCUAGACAACUCCCCAGAGGAAUUCAGUUCCUUGUUUGGCCUGGUUCCCGUGGGUCAAUCAAUGUCAGCCUUGGUCCAGCACCUGGAAGAGACAGAUACCAACUUCCUUUUGGGCACCCUCAUUU